rnacentral:tRNA from 1 species
ACCUGGCUGGCUCAAUCCUUAGAGCAUGUGACUCUGGAUCUCAGAGUCGUGAGUUCAAGCCCCACGUUGGGCA